rnacentral:snRNA from 1 species
GGGCGGAGAGGUCCAGAAG